UACGAGGGGUGCAAGCGUUGCUCGGAAUUAUUGGGCGUAAAGGGUAUGUAGGUGGUCUUAUUUGUCUGGGGUGAAAGCCUUGAGCUUAACUCAAGAAGUGCCCCAGAAACGGUAAGACUAGAGUCUUGGAGAGGGUCGUGGAAUUCCCGGUGUAGCGGUGAAAUGCGUAGAGAUCGGGAGGAACACCAGCGGCGAAGGCGGCGACCUGGACAAGUACUGACACUCAAAUACGAAAGCGUGGGGAGCAAACAGG
rnacentral:rRNA from 1 species